GAUGUGCGGGAGCGGCCGGAGUCUGUGGAGCUGGAAAUUCACCGGUCCAGGAAGACGUCUUUCCUGCGUCCCAGCACCUUGGGCCACGCUCCUUGGUGAGAGCGCCCUCUCCAAGGAGGCUGGCCCUGGAUAUUUCACCCAAAAUAUUUAUUUUUUCUUUUUUUCUAGACCGUUAGGUUCCAUGGUACCCUGGAAUCCAUAGCUGCUGAAUCUGAAGGGCCUUCAGAAGACUGGCUUCUCCAUGGUGGUUCAUGGACUAAGGCAAAGAUGAGCAGAGCCGUGGCCCUCUUCUUUGUUCUCUGCUGGAUCCAAGAGUCGGAGUCUCCCUAUGUUUCCCAGGCUGGUCUCGAACUCCUGACCUCAAGUGAUCCUCCCACCUCAGCCUCCCAGAGCGCUGGGAUUGAAGACGUGAGCCACCGCACCUGGCCUGAAUUUUCCUCAGAUUCAAAAAAUCCUGAUGAAGGUUUGGCUAAAAUCUUUGGUGAGUUACCCCCAUCCUUGUGGAACCUCAGGCUGGAUUUGAAGAGUUGCAUGCGUGGUCCUCAUUGUCUCCCAGGUAACCUGUUCCCAAUGCUGUGAAGGGAAGGCAGGUGCUCUUCCUUGAGGCUAGAAUCUGUCUACGUGUCACAGUCUCAGGAAAUUAAGCAAAACAGAUGAUAAACACCUCAAAAGGACCCUACUGAGCAUG
rnacentral:sRNA from 1 species